UACGGAGGGUGCAAGCGUUUAUCCGGAUUCACUGGGUUUAAAGGGUGUGCAGGCGGGUAUUUAAGUCAGUGGUGAAAUCUCCAGGCUCAACCUGGAAACUGCCAUUGAUACUAUUUAUCUUGAAUUCUGUUGAGGUGGGCGGAAUAUAUCAUGUAGCGGUGAAAUGCUUAGAGAUGAUAUAGAACACCGAUUGCGAAGGCAGCUCGCUAAACAGAUAUUGACGCUGAGGCACGAAAGCGUGGGGAGCAAACAGG
rnacentral:rRNA from 1 species